rnacentral:rRNA from 1 species
AUUGAACGCUGGCGGCAGGCCUAACACAUGCAAGUCGAGCGGAUGAAGGGAGCUUGCUCCUGGAUUCAGCGGCGGACGGGUGAGUAAUGCCUAGGAAUCUGCCUGGUAGUGGGGGAUAACGUCCGGAAACGGGCGCUAAUACCGCAUACGUCCUGAGGGAGAAAGUGGGGGAUCUUCGGACCUCACGCUAUCAGAUGAGCCUAGGUCGGAUUAGCUAGUUGGUGGGGUAAAGGCCUACCAAGGCGACGAUCCGUAACUGGUCUGAGAGGAUGAUCAGUCACACUGGAACUGAGACACGGUCCAGACUCCUACGGGAGGCAGCAGUGGGGAAUAUUGGACAAUGGGCGAAAGCCUGAUCCAGCCAUGCCGCGUGUGUGAAGAAGGUCUUCGGAUUGUAAAGCACUUUAAGUUGGGAGGAAGGGUAGUAAGUUAAUACCCUGCUGUUUUGACGUUACCAACAGAAUAAGCACCGGCUAACUUCGUG